CUGAAGAAGACAUGGUUCUGGAGAGUCCUGC
rnacentral:piRNA from 1 species